rnacentral:rRNA from 1 species
GAGUUUGAUUCUGGCUCAGGAUGAACGCUGGCGGCGUGCUUAACACAUGCAAGUCGAACGAAGCGGGAAGGAAGAAGUUUUUCGAAAUGGAUUUUUUCUUUGCUUAGUGGCGGACGGGUGCGUAACACGUAGGUAACCUACCCUGUGCUUCGGAAUAACUCCGGGAAACCGGUGCUAAUGCCGAAUAAUAUCGCCUGUCGGCAUCGAGAGGCGAUCAAAGAAUUUUGGCACAGGAUGGGCCUGCGCCGGAUUAGCUGGUUGGUGAGGUAACGGCUCACCAAGGCGACGAUCCGUAGCCGACCUGAGAGGGUGAUCGGCCACACUGGAACUGAGACACGGUCCAGACUCCUACGGGAGGCAGCAGUGGGGAAUAUUGCACAAUGGGGGAAACCCUGAUGCAGCAACGCCGCGUGAGCGAUGAAGGCUUUCGAGUCGUAAAGCUCUGUCCUAUGGGAAGAUGAGGACG